rnacentral:hammerhead_ribozyme from 1 species
AUCCAUCUGAUAAGUCUCAAAUAGGACGAAACGCGCGUCGUGGAU